CUACCCUCUUGACAUCUACAACAUCUUGUGUCAAGGUCUUGUCCACGAUGAUGCCAACACCGUUUCUCGUUCUAUUUGUGCCCGAAUACCAAAGCUUAAACCCUGAGUUUUCUAGAUCCUUUGCCUUACUACCAACCCACUUAGUUUCUCGUAGGCACAUAAUAUUUAUCCUUCUCCUUACCAUAACUUCCACUACUUCCAUAGAUUUUCCCGUUAAGGUUCCUAUAUUCCACGUUCCUAAACGCAUUUUGCUCUCUUGAACUCUACCCUUCUGUCCUAGCUUCUUCACCCUCCCCCGUUUAAUAGGAUCAAAGUACUUCUUUUGUGUGUCCCGUGUAAAGUUGAUAGGAGCAUAUGCUCCCAAACAACUUUGAGUGGAGUCGUUCGAAAAGAAGUUUCUAUGGCCCCCUUGCUGAUUUAACACUGCAUCCGGGUGCCGAUGGAGAUACAGCGACCCUU
rnacentral:lncRNA from 1 species